rnacentral:rRNA from 1 species
UACGGAGGAUGCAGGCGUUAUCCGGAAUGAUUGGGCGUAAAGCGUCCGCAGGUGGCUAUGUAAGUCUGCUGUUAAAGAGUGAGGCUCAACCUCAUAAGAGCAGUGGAAACUACAUGGCUAGAGUGCGUUCGGGGCAGAGGGAAUUCCUGGUGUAGCGGUGAAAUGCGUAGAGAUCAGGAAGAACACCGGUGGCGAAAGCGCUCUGCUAGGCCGCAACUGACACUCAUGGACGAAAGCUAGGGGAGCGAAUGGG